AUCGUCACAGUGGGGCCAGUGCCGAAGUGCAGAAGGAGGAGGAGAAGAAGUUUAAGGAAGUGGGAGAGGCCUUUACCAUCCUCUCUGAUCCUAAGAAAAAGACUCGUUAUGACAGUGGACAGGAUCUGGAUGAGGAGGGCAUGAAUAUGGGCGGUGAGUUGGUUUGGGCAUCUGGAAUGAAAAUGGUCCCUGUAAAACAAGUUUUUUCUAAAGCACCAGAAAAGCUCCCCACUGUGGUUACCAAGUGUGGUUACCUCUAGGCUUCUACCCUCUGGGCAGCUGGGCUGGGACACUCCUGAAGGGAGGUCUGUGAGUGUUCAGCCAGGGCAAGAGCUGUCAGAACCGUUGUGGCCUAGAGUAAAGGACACAGCACUCCUCCAGGAGUCGGGACCUCCAGGGCGGGCAUGUUAAUUUGGGACCCUGAAGUUGAGCCUUUUCAUUAUGGCCCCAGCAUUAUAGGAAGACAUGGUGCAAAUGUCAUUCCCAAGUAAGGAGACCAGACAGAGCAGGAUGAGGCAGAGAAAGGCUUCCUCUAGACUGCACUUGGAGGGGAACAUAUCCCAGGAACAGGUUCAGCAGUUCUGCCUGAGCUGACAGUAGGGAGAGGUUUGCUAACAUCUAGGCUGAAAUGGAAAAGGGAAGAGAACCCCAGAGAUCUUCUGCACCUGGUUUCUCUGAUCUGAUUUUCACUGUUUGCCCCUUCUAUGCUUCUCACCAGAUUUUGAUGCAAACAACAUCUUCAAGGCAUUCUUUGGUGGUCCUGGGGGCUUCAGCUUUGAAGGUAGGUGUGCCUGCUGCUCUUGAGAGCUCCCAGGUGACAGCAGCACUGACCCUCACUGAGCCAGCUCCUGGAA
rnacentral:lncRNA from 1 species